GAAAAAGAUGCUUCAAGUGAAGUUCCCCUCUGAAAAACUUAUUUAUUAAGUAUUCUUGCUGCUGUGAGGACUAUGGGAGAAGGCAUUGUACGCAUACCUCUUAGUCUACCAGAGCAUAAUUGUGGGAUGUGAUGUGUGCCUAAGUCCCCACUCAAGGUCGGGGACAAAAAACAAAGAAACAAAAAAACAUCCAGGAAGCUUAAAAUGAUGUUGAAUACAUUAAAAGAGUAUACAUGACUUUA